UGGGUUUGAACUGUACAGGCAAGUCUCAGAGAUGAGAGCCCCUCUUCGGAGGACUGUACAGAGGUGCUGCAUGGCUGUCGUCAGCUCGUGUCGUGAGAUGUUGGGUUAAGUCCCGCAACGAGCGCAACCCUUAUUCACAGUUACUAACGGGUAGAGCCGAGAACUCUGUGGAGACUGCCGGUGAUAAACCGGAGGAAGGUGGGGAUGACGUCAAGUCCUCAUGGCCUUUAUGU
rnacentral:rRNA from 1 species